UCAAAAUGCUUUGUCUGGCAUAUGCCAUU
rnacentral:piRNA from 1 species